rnacentral:rRNA from 2 species
UGGGGAAUAUUGGACAAUGGGGGGAACCCUGAUCCAGCCAUGCCGCGUGUGUGAAGAAGGCCUUAUGGUUGUAAAGCACUUUAAGCGAGGAGGAGGCUACUGAGACUAAUACUCUUGGAUAGUGGACGUUACUCGCAGAAUAAGCACCGGCUA